AUGUUUUCUUGGUGUUCCCAUCAGGAAAACCUCUCUGCUCCAGCACAGGACUGGAGAGGGAGAGGUCCCAACCCCAUCCUCCAUCCCUGCCUAAUGCCAAGGCACAGCAGCAAGCAGCUAGUUUGGGGCUGGCUGCUCCUCUUUGAGCACCUGACCCUACAGUCUGAAAGGCCGCUUGCUCUGGGCUUCUUACAUUUUAUUGUUACUGUUCUCACCGAGUUCCUUUGUGCCGUGACUCAUUUUUUUGCCCUAAGCUGUCAGUCUGUGGUGACUCAGCCACUGCUGCAGGGUGCCAGAGGCCGCUUCUCCCCCAGGUUUGCCGACGAGCUGAGCGUGCUGCUGAGGCUCAGGUACUCGCUGAAGGAGGACACCAGCCUGGUGACCAUCCUGAGCCACCGGAGCCGCGUGCUCUUCCAGAUCCGGGUGAGCCCCUACGGCCUGGUCUUUGUCACCACGAGGAGGAGACACUAUGAGUUCCCAGUUUCCCAGCUCAGCGACGGGCGCUGGCACCGAGUGGCUCUCGGCAUCUCCUCGGAGGGGCUGGAGCUGCACGUGGACUGCCGGCUGGUGGGGAGAGCGAGCUGGUCCGGCCACAUCGGGAUGGGAGUGAGCACGGAGGGGCUGGUCGUCCUCGGGGGCCUGGUCGAGGCCUUCGAGAUCCCCUUCGAGGGUGCCCUCCAGCAGCUGAUCUUCGUGAUGGGAGACCCAGCAGCCGCCAACGAGCACUGCCACAGCUACGGCAAAGCGUGCGCCCCCCGCCUCAGCCGCCUGCUGUCCCCGGGGGACCUCUCACCACCCGCAUGGCCAGAGGUGUGGCUGAGGGCAGCUGCCAAAUCCUGGGGGUGCUGGACCGGGCUCCUGUGUGGAGUAACCUGUUCCGAGUGCAAGGACCAAGCCAGGGGGUUAGGGGAGCCUGGAAGGACUCAGGUUUCUGCUCUGAGCUGAGAUUUGGGGAGGUGGUGGUGGUGGUGGGUAUGCCAUCAUCCAGACCCUCCCAUGAAGUCACAGAUGGGCUUGGUGCAAAGGGGAGAAUGAGUUAGAGGAAACAUUUUGGAGCCAAAGCUGGGUGUGUGCCUGACUGCCCAAGUGUUGAGCACAGGGAAGUUGUGCUCAGCCCUGGAGUAACGCUGCAGCUCCCUGCUGGGAGUGGGGCAGAGCUGGGACCAGGAGCUGUGCAUCGGUUCGAAGGUCUUGCUCAUGUCCAGCAAGAUUGCUGCAUUGCAUCAGCCUUUGGAAGGCUUUUCCCUCUAUAUCGUCAAUGGGAAUUUUGUGGGGUUUAUUUUAUUACUGUUCAUCAUUUUGUUUUAAGUAAUACAUCCGUCUCCCCAAGCCUGGAUCCCACAGUAAAUUCCCAAGGACACAAAGCACCCAGGCUUUCCUCGUGAGCCAGGAGGUUGCCCAAGGAGCAACUUUAUCUCUUGGCCAGGUGUUGAAGUCCACUAAGAUAGAUUUCUGGUGGCAUGAGGGCACUUACCCUUAGCACCCAGUGGCUGAAGACUUAGGCCAGCAGGGCUUUGCAGCUGCCUGGACAAGGCUUGCUGAAGGCAAGGGCUUAAUGGCAGGGUUUGCAUCAGCCUCCUGUGGGUAACACCCUUCCCUGGGGCUGCAGUGAGGGGCUGGAAAGGGCAGCGUCAGGGAGGGAGCUGGGUGUGGGAUGGGAGAUCUGCCCUGCCAGGUCCUGCCUGCUGCUUCGUCCCAGUGCCAGCAGCAGGGACGGCCGGGGCAGGUAAUGCAGAGCAGUGAAAAGCGGCCCGUGGUGGUGAUCUGCCUGCUUCGAGGGAGACCGCUGAGUUCCCAGGACACGUAACCCCCGGUCAUCCCCCAAAUGACCCCAGGCAUGUCCCUGCUGACCGCCCUCAGGUGCUGGCUGGGGUGCUGCGAGGUAAAUCAAGUUCCCUCCCUGCAGCUAAGAAAUGAGGGCAAAUCUCUGGUUUGGCAGCUACAU
rnacentral:lncRNA from 1 species